AUUGAACGCUGGCGGCAUGCCUUACACAUGCAAGUCGAACGGUAACGCGGGGCAACCUGGCGACGAGUGGCGAACGGGUGAGUAAUGUAUCGGAACGUGCCCAGUUGUGGGGGAUAACUGCUCGAAAGAGCAGCUAAUACCGCAUACGACCUGAGGGUGAAAGCGGGGGAUCGCAAGACCUCGCGCAAUUGAAGCGGCCGAUAUCAGAUUAGGUAGUUGGUGGGGUAAAGGCUCACCAAGCCGACGAUCUGGAGCUGGUCUGAGAGGACGACCAGCCACACUGGGACUGAGAGACGGCGCAGACCCCUACGGGGGGCAGCAGGGGGGAAUUUUGGACAAUUGACGCAAGUCUGAUCCAGCCAUGCCGCGUGCGGGAAGAAGGCCUUCGGGUUGUAAACCGCUUUUGUCAGGGAAGAAACGCUCUGGGUUAAUACCUCGGGGUAAUGACGGUACCUGAAGAAUAAGCACCGGCUAACUACGUGCCAGCCGCCGCCGUAACAC
rnacentral:rRNA from 1 species